ACAAGGGCGAGGCUGUAUUCGGUUACUGACAAAAAAACAACCAAACAGCUCUCUGAUUCCCCAUAGCGAUCAAUUCGAGAGCUGCAGUGUCAGUGUUAUUCCAGAGUCCAUGUUGAAGUUUAUUUAUUCAGACUUUUCGUUCGUCUGGGUCAUUUCAGGGCAGGAGCCGCAUCUAUUCACCUUCGUGUACACGCGCAGUUUAUUUUUAGAUUUUUGGUUUGAAGGGAAAAAGGACGUCUAA
rnacentral:lncRNA from 1 species